CAGCAGCCGCGGGAAUACGAAGGGGGCUAGCGUUGCUCGGAAUGACUGGGCGUAAAGGGCGCGUAGGCGGUUCGUACAGUCAGAUGUGAAAUUCCUGGGCCUAACCUGGGGGCUGCAUUUGAUACGUGCGGGCUUGAGUGGGGAAGAGGGUCGUGGAAUUCCCAGUGUAGAGGUGAAAUUCGUAGAUAUUGGGAAGAACACCGGUGGCGAAGGCGGCGACCUGGUCCUUGACUGACGCUGAGGCGCGAAAGCGUGGGGAGCAAACAGGAUUAGAGACCCCGGUAGUCCCUGUCUCUUAUAC
rnacentral:rRNA from 1 species